CAAGCGCCGCAAAUGGCCCUCGGGCCGCACUUUGGACACCCCUGGUCUAAAAGGAGUGCCAAUGUAACCGGUUGUGUUUCUCUGCUGGAGUAUGGAGGGUUUGUGUCUGUCUCAUUUGUUUAUGCCACGAGGAAGCAGCUAACUGGAAAAGGAGAUUAAUAACGGACUCGUUCUCUCUGCCUGCUCGCUCUGGAGUCCGGAGCAUUUACCAGACGUGGGAAAUUCAGAUUUAGGAGCGGCUCACUUCACCAGGUAAACUCGAGGAGCGGCUGGCUUGACCGCAGUUGCAGAGCCGAAGUGAAGUGUCGGGAAAGGAAAAGACGGUUCAAACCAUCCGUGCCUUCUUUAAGCCGGCUUCAGAGGAAUACCUAGAGUGUUGCUUCAUGCAGUUCACGGACACAUGGCUGAAUGACCUCACUCGUAGAUGCUGCGUGAUUGGAGGGGCAGUGUUAGACAGGUUUAUACCUGUAAACAGCCAGAUCACUUUAGCUUGUCACUCAUUUCACAGAAUGGGGCCCCUCGUGCUUCUCUUCUUUUCUCUGCUGCAUUUAUGUGCGACACAAGUGACUCCUGUGUUUGUGAAGACAGGAACAGAUUUACUUCUGGAUGUGAAGGAACCUGUUGUUCUGAAUGAGACAGAUUUAUUUACAUGGAAGGUCAAUGGCAGUGUUAAUGUUGUGAGACUAAUUAAUGGUAACCUAACCAUUUCCCCAAAUUAUACAUCUAGAGCAGAAUUGUCUGCACAAAAUCACUCUCUACUGUUAAAGAACGUACAAAAGGAGGACAGUGGAGUUUACAGAGCACAUGUUGCUGCUGAG